rnacentral:misc_RNA from 1 species
CCACGCCCAUGCUUGCCUAGGAGGGCCGGAACUCGAAGCUCACUGACUUUGUUCAAAAUCAGGCUUGAUUUGAGCCAACUUCUCGAGAGAGAGUGAGAGGAGAUGACGAUAGAAGAGGCAGCAGGCCCCGCCGGACCAAAGGUUCUCCGAUUGCUGUAUUUCGUCGGCGCCGGAUUUAUAUGCACUGUGGCGAUCAACAAGUGGAGAGAAGUUGAAAGGAAAUCCAUUCAGAAACAGCACCAACAACAAUCCCACCUCCCUCCAAAUUUGUUGCCCCAAAGCUCUCCAAAUGCCGUUCAAAAACCCACCAAGUGAUCUCUCAGGUGCUCUCUCUUUCUUUCUUUUGCAAUGAUUGGCGUUUGUAGCAACUGUUGUAAUAGUGAGGUUCGUUGUGAGGCUAGAGCUCAUAGAAUUGUUUCAAAGAGAAGGCUGGGAUAAGAGGCCAGCUUAAUUGUGCUAAUAAAUAUUCAUCUAUUUUGUGGUUAAACUAGAAUUUUGUCAGAAUUUCUUGGCUUUUCAUUUUUUUUAAUUUCAUAUUAAUUGUAUUGAAUUUUUUACUGAAUUUGUUUUUAAUUUUCAAUUUGCAGACAUUAGAUUUCCGGUUCUGUUAUGGAGGAUUUUAUUGAAUUUUGUUCUGAAUUUUAUCACAAAUAGACUUCAAUUGACAUACCAAUGGCUUUCCAUUCCUGUUAUAUUAAAUAAUUGGACCAUGAUUUUUCAAUUUAAGUGGCUAGUCAUUUGCAGUGCAGCUUUCCCAUUGUUGGUUUUCACUUGCUUGGUUUUUUCAGCAAUUGUUGGUUUUGCUUCCCUUGCAUUGUGUCAUGGGUGUGGGGUUGAGUUUAUUUUGUCUAUUUAUCCCUUCAUGACUUCGUUAUUUUUCUAUAUUUUUGAGCUUGAGAUAGGGCAAUAACAUACUUGGGGUUGUAAACAAGCGAAGCCAAGCCAAAGUACCAUCACCUUCAAGUUUGGUUUGUUUGAAUAUUUUUCUAGCUCAAGCUUAACAUCAAGCUCAAAUAUUGAUUCAAGCUUUGUUUAUUAAUUUGUCAAUGUAAUUGGCUAAAAAAAAAGUAGAUUUUUGUUCUAUUUUUUAUUUUAAUAAUUACUAAAUAACAUGCAUUCAUAGUAUUUUAUAUUUUCAGAAUUUGUUUCCAACCUAAUGUGUGUUUAUUGUUUACCUGUUUCUAUAAAUUAUCAAAUAAAAGAUAUUUCAAAUAAUUUUAGAAAACAUUUAUGUUAAAAACUAAUUUCUAGAUGCUUACAAGCAUUCAAGUCAGAGCGUAGAAGUGGUUGAGAUUUUUUAUUAAGACAAAUUGAGAAAUCUAUGAUCGCCGUUAGUUUAUCUAGUUUACAAAUAAUUAAGCUUGAAUGAGUUAGCAUCUUAACAAGUGGAAUUUGAGAUAGUAGUUUUUACUAUCCUUCUCACAUGGUGUUUUCUUUGUUAGCUAUGUGUUUGUGACAGUGCUUAUAUGAGUAUUAUUGUGUUCAAAAACUAGCUUUAUAUUGGAAAUUCAUUGUUGAUGUAAAAUGAUACAAUAUAAGAAGUCCUGACUCCUGACUGAUUGAAAUAACGUUACAGCUACAGGAAUUAAAAACAUGCUUGGAUUGCAGGCUUGAGCCCCCAAAUGUCAAUCCUAAGAGAGAAAUGCAGAACUAACUUAUCAGAAAUUGAAGUGGUAUUAAACAUAGAUAUAUGCAUGGGAGAUAAAAAUAAUGUUGAAUCAAACAUCACUGUAAAGUUGAAGCAAAAGCCUAACCUAACCACUAUUCUUCCUAGAAAGUGCAAUAAGGUAUUUGAACAGGGAAUUAUAGGCUUUAUUGUCUUCUUGACUCUGUCCUUUUAUAAUGUACAAUAACAUUUCUACUGCAAGACAGGAAAGUUCAAUUUUUAUUGUAUAAAAAGUUAUUAUUUGGGAGUUUUGGGUUGAUUUCAAUCUCCCAAUACAGAAAAUUUCCAUAGAAAUUGCCUACCGACAUUUACGAUUUCUUAUUUUUCAUAUAUCAACAGUUCAUUAA